GCAGCUGGUCUUGGGAAUAAGAAGAGAGAGUUGAAUGAAAAACAGAGCGCCUUGCGUCGCUCCAGUGACCCCUGCCGCCUUGGCGGAGUGGGCGCUUCGCUUUCUGAGCACUGGAAUCCUGGCUCAGAGUGGCCAAUCGGCUCCAUUCGAUUCCCUCGGAUUUGUUCCCUUCUAGGAAGCCGAGGGUGGCAGCGAACGUUAAUAGGAAGUCAGGGAAGGAAGUCGAACCUCCGCUCAGCCAGACAGCGUUGUGUUAGAGCCACAUACGCUACCUCCGCCCCUCCUCCGCCCCCCAUCAGUAAGGACGUUCUCCCAAUCACUCUGUGGUACUUAAGAAGCCCUGACUUGCUUUGUUUGAGGUUGCGGGAGCGCGGGGCUUUGGGAUGGGGAGGAUGAAGAGGGCUUUGAAUGCCAAGAAAAUAAGGUUGAGCUUCGCUGGGUGGCGACAAAGAAGAAUGUCGGGCAAAUGAUCAAACUACCUGUGGUGUCUCCAUCACUGGGUUAUUUAAGAGCCAGAAUAAGAAGGAAAAAGAAAGAGAGAGAAAGAGAGAGAGGAAGGAAAGAAGAAAGGAAGGAAGUGAAAAAAAAGAGAGUAUACUUGUACAUUUUCAGAAACUGAUAAUAAAAAGGGUACCAAACUUUA